CCUACGGGGGGCUGCAGUGGGGAAUAUUGGGCAAUGGGCGCAAGCCUGACCCAGCAACGCCGCGUGAAGGAAGACGGCUUUCGGGUUGUAAACUUCUUUUCUGAGGGACGAAGCAAGUGACGGUACUUCAGGAAUAAGCCACGGCUAACUACGUGCCAGCAGCCGCGGUAAUACGUAGGUGGCAAGCGUUAUCCGGAUUUAUUGGGUGUAAAGGGCGUGUAGGCGGGAAAGCAAGUCAGAUGUGAAAACUCAGGGCUCAACCCUGAGCCUGCAUUUGAAACUGUUUUUCUUGAGUGCUGGGGAGGCAGUCGGAAUUCCGUGUGUAGCGGUGAAAUGCGUAGAUAUACGGAGGAACACCAGUGGCGAAGGCGGAUUGCUGGAGAGUAACUGACGCUGAGGCGCGAAAGCGUGGGGAGCAAACAGGAUUAGAUACCCGAGUAGUC
rnacentral:rRNA from 1 species